CAAACCCUGGAGAGUGCGUGAUCGAUAACGCGUUUUUGAGCCAAUAACGCAGAACUAGGGUAGCUUCGUGGCCUGGUGUGCAUGCAUCCCUCGAGGAUGAAGCCUAAAAGGUCACCGCCGACCCCCUCUUGACGAAAGAGGUUCAAAAGAGUUCUCGACACGGCUCUCCGGGGUCCUU
rnacentral:other from 1 species